rnacentral:rRNA from 1 species
AGAGUUUGAUCAUGGCUCAGAUUGAACGCUGGCGGCAGGCCUAACACAUGCAAGUCGAACGGUAACAGGAUAGCUUGCUAUCGCUGACGAGUGGCGGACGGGUGAGUAAUACUUAGGGAUCUGCCUCUGUGUGGGGGAUAACUAUUGGAAACGAUAGCUAAUACCGCAUAAUGUCUCCGGACCAAAGAGGGCUUUUAGCUCUCGCGCAGAAGAGGAACCUAAGCGAGAUUAGCUAGUUGGUGAGGUAAAGGCUCACCAAGGCGACAAUCUCUACCUGUUCUGAAGAGGAAGAUC